UGAGCUAUAUUGUAUUUUGAAUUUUUAGAUGCAUAUGCAGAUGCUUUUUAAGGAACUAUUGAUGAUGUUGUAGCACUUGGUUUUCAUUUAGAAUCUUGUGAUUGUGAGUGAGAAACUUCAAUCGAUCUGCUAGUUGUAGAGGCAUUUUGAUGAAUAGUUUUAUUAGUAUGCUAGUUGCAUAUGGAUUUUGAAAAACAAUUUCAUGAAAUGCAUAUGCAGUUUCUCAAACUGCUUUGUGAUUAAUUCAUAUUUGCUGUUAAAAUGCUGAUGAUGUUGUCAUUGGUUUUGUUUUCUGAAUUUUUUUUAUUGUGAUUAAAUGGUCUGCUAGCUGCAUAUGUAGCUUGAGGAACUGUUUUAUGUUAAAAUCAUGUAUGAAGUCUUGUUUUAUAUGAAAUCAAUAUGAGGAUAAUAAAUAUAAAUUCUAGUUUUUAGAAUGUUGAGGAUGUUUCAGUUGGUUUUGUUUUCUGAAUUGUGUGAUUGUGAUUCAAUUUUCUGCUAGCUGUAUAUGC
rnacentral:lncRNA from 1 species